UUCUGCCCUAUCAACUUGUUGGUAAGGUAGUGGCUUACCAAGGUGACAACGGGUGACGGGGAAUAAGGGUUCGACUCCGAAGAGGGCGCCAGGAGAAAUGGCGACCAGUUCCAAGGAAGGCAGCAGGCGCGGAAAUUACCCAAUCUAGAGUGUGGGAGGUGGUGACGAGAUGUAACGGGUGCAGUUCCUUGUGGACGGCACACUGGAAUGAGAGCAAUGUAAGCGAUUGAGUGCGAGUAACAACUGGAGGGCAAGUCUGGUGCCAGCAGCCGCGGUAAUUCCAGCUCCAGUAGUGUAGAUUAAAGUUGCUGCGUUUAAAACGCUCGUAGUCGGAAUGUGUGUGGGGGUGUGCGAGUGUGGUGUGAAGUGGUAGUAAAUGUAGUAAGGAAACUUGGUACAACUGCAACGAAAACCAAGCGCACUUCCCCACCCAACUCGCGGCCGCCAGGGACCUUAAGUGUGUCGCUAGGCAGUACGCGAAGCGUGCCUUGAAUAAACGAGAGUGCUCAAAGCAAGUGUGGCUUGAAUGUGAAUAGCAUGGAACGAAAUGUGUGGCAUAGUGUGUUGUGUAAAGAGAUGGCACACUGCACGUAAAGAGGAGCGCACGGGGGCGCUGGGAUUUUGACGCGAGAGGUGAAAUUCUUGGACCGUGAAAGGACCAACAAAUGCGAAGGCAUGCGCCCAGAGCGUUUCCAUUGAUCAAGAACGAAAGUGAGGGGAUCGAAGUCGAUCAGAUACCGCCCUAGUCCUCACUGUAAACGAUGCCGACCGGGGAUGGGCUUGAAGUGUGUGUGUGUGUGUACGGCUUCCAGUUGGGCCCCCCGAGAAACC
rnacentral:rRNA from 1 species